rnacentral:rRNA from 1 species
AGGAUAAACGCUGGCGGCGUGCCUAACACAUGCAAGUCGAACGCCCUUUUGUGCCGCAAGGUGGAAGAGGGAGUGGCGGACGGGUGAGGAACACGUGGGUGACCUACCUUUCAGUGAGGAAUACCGGCGAGAAAUCGCCGACAAGACCGCAUACGCUUCUCUAUUCGCAGAGGGAAGGAAAGCUUCACGAGAGUGAGGCGCUGGAAGAUGGGCCUGCGGCCGAUUAGCUAGCUGGUGGGGUAAUGGCCUACCAGGGCGACUAUCGGUAGCUGGUCUGAGAGGACGAUCAGCCACACUGGGAUUGAGAACGGCCCAGACUCCUACGGGGGGCAGCAGUGAGGAAUUUUCGGCAAUGGGGGCAACCCUGACCGAGCAACGCCGCGUGCAGGAGGAGGUUUUCGGAUCGUAAACUGCUUUUCUGUGGGAAGAGAACGGACGGUACCACAGGAACGAAGCCCCGGCUAACUACGUGCCAGCAGCCGC